UACGUAGGGACCGAGCGUUGUCCGGAAUUAUUGGGCGUAAAGGGCGCGUAGGCGGCCAUGCGUGUCUUUCGUGAAAUCCCUCGGCUUAACUGAGGACGUGCGGAAGAAACUGCAAGGCUUGAGUCCGGGAGAGGGGGGUGGAAUUCCCAGUGUAGCGGUGAAAUGCGUAGAUAUUGGGAGGAACACCGGUGGCGAAGGCGGCCCCCUGGACCGGUACUGACGCUGAGGCGCGAAAGCGUGGGUAGCAAACGGG
rnacentral:rRNA from 1 species